AUGAAGGCAUUAGGUAAAAUGGACGAGUACGUGAAGGAAAUGGUUCCUUCUAAGUUCGUAGACGCGCGAAGUGGAGAAAUAGUGAUCGAUCAGUUGAUCAACAACAUAGUUUCGAGUGGGACGUAUGAUGACGACUUUGUGCGGCGAGUGGUAUUAGUCCUCAUUGGCACAAUAAUAGCACCGCACUCCACCAGACAUGUUCCACAUUUUCUUUACCAGUUGGUGGAGGACGUCGAAGCCAUAAAAUCAUAUAACUGGAAUGCGUUCACGUUACGCGUCUGCAUUGAAGGAAUCACAAAGACUGUUAAAGAUGUUAAAAAAUUCAAGUGGCCUGUUGGAAAUCUGGCGCUCAUCCAGUACAUGUACUGGGAGAAGGUGCAACCAACUUCAGUAGAAACAUUCGAUCCUUUGUUAUCGGAGUACCCAUUGAUGGUAAAUUGGUCCGAAAUGGAGGCUAAGAAGCGUGACAUAUAUGACAACGAGAACGACCGUGGUCAUGGCACGAUUGAUGAUUUAAUAAGCGAACAAUAUAGACAUGCCAGAAUAGCCACCUUCACCUAA
rnacentral:rRNA from 1 species